UUAGUAUAUUGGCCGAUAUAGGUGUUAGUCUCUUAAAUUAAUUAAGA
rnacentral:tRNA from 1 species